UACGAAGGGGGCUAGCGUUGCUCGGAAUCACUGGGCGUAAAGCGCACGUAGGCGGACUCUUAAGUCGGUGGUGAAAUCCUGGAGCUCAACUCCAGAACUGCCUUCGAUACUGAGAGUCUCGAGUCCGAGAGAGGUGAGUGGAACUGCGAGUGUAGAGGUGAAAUUCGUAGAUAUUCGGAGGAACACCAGUGGCGAAGGCGGCUCACUGGCUCGAUACUGACGCUGAGGUGCGAAAGCGUGGGGAGCAAACAGG
rnacentral:rRNA from 1 species